AACGAACGCUGGCGGCAUGCCUAACACAUGCAAGUCGAACGAUGCCUUCGGGCAUAGUGGCGCACGGGUGCGUAACGCGUGGGAAUCUGCCUUUCGGUUCGGAAUAACUCAGGGAAACUUGAGCUAAUACCGGAUAACGUCGCAAGACCAAAGAUUUAUCACCGAAAGAUGAGCCCGCGUAGGAUUAGCUAGUUGGUGAGGUAAAGGCUCACCAAGGCGACGAUCCUUAGCUGGUCUGAGAGGAUGAUCAGCCACACUGGGACUGAGACACGGCCCAGACUCCUACGGGAGGCAGCAGUGGGGAAUAUUGGACAAUGGGCGAAAGCCUGAUCCAGCAAUGCCGCGUGAGUGAUGAAGGCCUUAGGGUUGUAAAGCUCUUUUAACCGGGAAGAUAAUGACGGUACCGGGAGAAUAAGCCCCGGCUAACUCCGUG
rnacentral:rRNA from 1 species